UACGGAGGGGGCUAGCGUUGUUCGGAAUUACUGGGCGUAAAGCGCGCGCAGGCGGUCCCUUAAGUCUGAUGUGAAAGCCCACGGCUCAACCGUGGAGGGUCAUUGGAAACUGGGAGACUUGAGUACAGAAGAGGAAAGCGGAAUUCCACGUGUAGCGGUGAAAUGCGUAGAGGUGUGGAGGAACACCAGUGGCGAAGGCGGCUUUCUGGUCUGUAACUGACACUGAGGCGCGAAAGCGUGGGGAGCGAACAGG
rnacentral:misc_RNA from 1 species